rnacentral:rRNA from 1 species
UACAGAGGUCCCAAGCGUUGUUCGGAUUCAUUGGGCGUAAAGGGUGCGUAGGCGGCGCGGUAAGUCGGGUGUGAAAUCUCGGAGCUUAACUCCGAAACUGCAUUCGAUACUGCCGUGCUUGAGGACUGGAGAGGAGACUGGAAUUUACGGUGUAGCGGUGAAAUGCCUAGAUAUCAGGAGGAACACCGGUGGCGAAGGCGGUUCUCUGGGCAUGAUCUGACGCUGAGGAGCGAAAGUGUGGGGAGCGAACAGG